rnacentral:rRNA from 1 species
AUUGAACGCUGGCGGCAGGCCUAACACAUGCAAGUCGAGCGGAAGAAGGGAGCUUGCUCCUGGAUUCAGCGGCGGACGGGUGAGUAAUGCCUAGGAAUCUGCCUGGUAGUGGGGGAUAACGUCCGGAAACGGGCGCUAAUACCGCAUACGACCUGAGGGAGAAAGUGGGGGAUCUUCGGACCUCCCGCUAUCAGAUGAGCCUAGGUCGGAUUAGCUAGUUGGUGGGGUAAAGGCCUACCAAGGCGACGAUCCGUAACUGGUCUGAGAGGAUGAUCAGUCACACUGGAGCUGAGACACGGUCCAGACUCCUACGGGAGGCAGCAGUGGGGAAUAGUGGACAGUGGGCGAAAGCCUGGUCCAGCCAUGCCGCGUGUGUGGAGAAGGUCUUCGGAUUGUAAAGCACGUUAAGUUGGGAGGAAGGGCAGUAAGUUAAUACCUUGCUGUUUUGACGUUACCAACAGAAUAAGCACCGGCUAACUUCGUG